GCCCACUACCCAAGGCUGCACCUGAUAACUAGAACCCAGUGACAUCACUCACUCAAGACAACCAGACAGUCCUAGACUCCAUGACAACCACUGGACAGUCUAUAAACAGAGACCAAGAGCAAUGUUCUGCUCUGCACAUCUGGAGGCACACCACCUUGUCUCCGCGCCUGGAGAGUCUCUGCCAGGAUCUGGACCCACGAAUCAGAGACUUCUGUUAGAGACUGGACCUGACCUUUGGCUAAGAUGUGACACACAGAAACCAUGGAACAGUGAUGAAAGAAUGCUGUAGCGUGAAUAACAGCGUUGGGAUAGUAAUUUAAAACGUAGCACAGUCCACAGCUGCUUCCCGGUUUCAAGGGAGUGUAAAUCAGACAGUAUAGACACAAGUUAUUAACACCGACUCCCUUUGAUCAGCCAGGCUGUCACUCAAGCAGCCAAGGAGGGAACAUUGCCCAAAGCUAGACCGGGGUGAAGCCUGGCCAUAUUAAACCACGGUUUUCUCUUGGUGAGGUCGGACUCAGGCUGCCACCCGGUCCCCGCAAGCCCAUGUUUGGGGUUUACCACUCUACCUGAUCCAGACAGCUGCUACGCAGAUACCUCAGUGCUUGUUGAAUGCUCUGAGGCAGAGGCUGUCCUGUUCUCUGGACGUGGACUAUGAGUGGGACACCGAAGACAGCCUUGUCUUUGUAGUCAGGAACCUUCGUCCUCUUCAUGAACUUGGGAACGGACCUGGAAUUCACAGAAACCAGGUCAUGCAAGGCCCCCGGGGCGCACCGUGCAGCGAGGCUGUGGAAGCAAGCGAGAGGGAGGCAGGCUCCGGUUGGAAUACCUCAGAGGCAAAGGCAGACCGCAACCUUCUCUACAUCAAUCCCAGCCUACGAUGCUCUCCGUGCGGCCCUUGCCUGUGUGUCCUUUCUGCUAAACAGAUUCUGUGAUUCACAUUAGCAAAUUGUCCCUGUAGCUCCGUUUCCUAGUCGGGAGUGGUGGGCAGUGUUCCAGUUUGAUUGUGACUGAAUGAGCGCCCAUGUGGCAAACACUUAAAACUCCCCAGCGGAACGAAACAGAAUGUAUGUAAAACUCACAAGAGGAAGAAGAAAUCUGGUUGGGGUUGAAGAAACUGAAGAGGGAAAAUGAUGACCCGUAGUUUCUUGGCUAUGUCUUUGGCUUUCUAGAACCAGCUCUACAUUUUAAAGGGAAUUUUAACACACAUGUAUAUAUUGAUUUGGUCACACAAUUUACAAGCUUUGAAAACAUCUUUAUAAACACAACAUUGAUUCUUCUAUACAUAUUAUACGACAUAAUGCUUUCUGUUUUUUCACAUUCACUCACCAUUCAUCCACAGUAAGUCUACAUACACUAUUGAUUUUUAUCAGCUCCUUAAUUCCAAAAACAUACCGCAAAAUCUCAUUUUUACUUGCCAAUGAAAGCAGAAAUGUACUUGAAGAAUGAGCCAAUCAAUGCUGUAAGGGGGUGGGUUCUGCACCCGACCACAAGGUACCAAUGACAGAUGUUUCUCCACAAACUGCCAGCAGUAUUUUGUGGCAGGUUUAUUUCUAAUUCCUCUGCUCACAAUUUAUCACUCUUUGCUGGCCUUGCUUCUUUCUCAGAACCUGACUCCCUUCCCCGGAAACCGACCGAGAUCUACCAAUAAA